CGCUAAUCGAGACAGAUCGACACAGCCAGUCCGCGCUAAUCCACACAGCCAGUCCGCGCUAAUCGAGACAGAUCAACACUGCCAGUCCACGCUUAUCAACACAGCCAGUCCGCGCUAAUCGAGACAGAUCAGCACUGCCGGUCCGCGCUAAUCCACACAGCCAGUCCGCGCUAAUCGAGACAGAUCAACACUGCCAGUCCGCGCUAAUCGAGACAGAUCAACACAGCCAGUCCGCGCUAAUCGAGACAGAUCGACACAGCCAGUCCGCGCUAAUCGACACAGCUAGUCUGCACUUAUCGAGACAGCUAGUCUGCACUAAUCGAGACAGAUCAACACAGCCAGUCCGCAGUAAUCAACACAGCCAGUCCGCGCUAAUCGACACAGAUUGACACAGCCAGUCCGCGCUAAUCGAGACACAUCGACACAGCCAGUCAGCGCUAAUCGAGACACAUCGACACAGCCAGUCCGAGCUAAUCGAGACACAUCGACACAGCCAGUCAGCGCUAAUUGACACAGAUCGACACAGCCAGUCCACGCUAAUCAACACAGCCAGUCCGCGCUAAUCGAGACAGAUCGACACAGCCAGUCCGAGCUAAUCGACACAAAUCGAGACAGUGCACACUGAUCCGCACAAUCCAUCCACACUAAUCCACACAAACCGUCAGUAUACACAGUCCACACUGAUGGAGUCUGACACGCACACCCGGCUUAACACUGAAGACUGGUGAAUAAAAAGUGAAUUCCGGCCACAGACGGAAAGCGGAGAAGGUCUCACCGAUGGCCUCGAAUCUCUCCAGAGGAAAGGUCAUGCACAAGAAGUUCUGCCCAUUCUCCACGCCUGUGCUCGGGUACGAGAACUCCCCCACUUCCUGUCUAGGGGGGAAGUGAGGCGUACUGUGGACCAGCCAGAAGCCCUGAGUCUUAUCCAAUAGGACAACACCUGGAGGAAGAGGAGAGCG
rnacentral:lncRNA from 1 species